CCUGCAGUCGAACGAUGAAGCCCAGCUUGCUGGGUGGAUUAGUGGCGAACGGGUGAGUAACACGUGAGCAACCUGCCCCUGACUCUGGGAUAAGCGCUGGAAACGGCGUCUAAUACUGGAUAUGUCCCGUCACCGCAUGGUGUGCGGGUGGAAAGAUUUUUCGGUUGGGGAUGGGCUCGCGGCCUAUCAGCUUGUUGGUGAGGUAAUGGCUCACCAAGGCGUCGACGGGUAGCCGGCCUGAGAGGGUGACCGGCCACACUGGGACUGAGACACGGCCCAGACUCCUACGGGAGGCAGCAGUGGGGAAUAUUGCACAAUGGGCGGAAGCCUGAUGCAGCAACGCCGCGUGAGGGAUGACGGCCUUCGGGUUGUAAACCUCUUUUAGCAGGGAAGAAGCGAGAGUGACGGUACCUGCAGAAAAAGCACCGGCUAACUACGUGCCAGCAGCCGCGGUAAUACGUAGGGUGCAAGCGUUAUCCGGAAUUAUUGGGCGUAAAGAGCUCGUAGGCGGUCUGUCGCGUCUGCUGUGAAAUCCCGAGGCUCAACCUCGGGCUUGCAGUGGGUACGGGCAGACUAGAGUGCGGUAGGGGAGAUUGGAAUUCCUGGUGUAGCGGUGGAAUGCGCAGAUAUCAGGAGGAACACCGAUGGCGAAGGCAGAUCUCUGGGCCGUAACUGACGCUGAGGAGCGAAAGGGUGGGGAGCAAACAGGCUUAGAUACCCUGGUAGUCCACCCCGUAAACGUUGGGAACUAGUUGUGGGGUCCUUUCCACGGAUUCCGUGACGCAGCUAACGCAUUAAGUUCCCCGCCUGGGGAGUACGGCCGCAAGGCUAAAACUCAAAGGAAUUGACGGGGACCCGCACAAGCGGCGGAGCAUGCGGAUUAAUUCGAUGCAACGCGAAACUUACCAAGGCUUGACAUACACGAAACGGGCCAAAUGGUCAACUCUUUGCCUGAACGUGGGCAUGGUCGUCAGCUCGGUCGGGAUGGGAAGUCCCACACUCUCACCCGUAGGGGAUGACCGGCAUGAAAGGGGGUAU
rnacentral:rRNA from 1 species